UACGUAGGUGGCAAGCGUUGUCCGGAUUUACUGGGCGUAAAGAGCGCGCAGGCGGUCGUUCAAGUCGCGUGUGAAAGCCCCCGGCUCAACUGGGGAGGGUCACGCGAUACUGAUCGACUCGAAGGCAGGAGAGGGUAGUGGAACUCCCGGUGUAGUGGUGAAAUGCGUAGAUAUCCGGAGGAACACCAGCGGCGAAGGCGGCAUCCUGGACUGGUCCUGACACUCAGGAGCGAAAGCGUGGGGAGCGAUCCGG
rnacentral:rRNA from 1 species